GCCUGUUUAGCUCAGUCGGUAGAGCACUCGGCUGUUAACCGAUAGGUCGUAGGUUCGAGUCCUACAACAGGCGCCA
rnacentral:tRNA from 1 species